rnacentral:rRNA from 1 species
AGACGUCUACAUUAGAUACCCGAGUAGUCCCAGCCGUAAACUAUGCGCGUUAGGUGUAUCGGUGACCACGAGUUACCGAGGUGCCGAAGGGAAACCGUGAAACGUGCCGCCUGGGAAGUACGGUCGCAAGGCUGAAACUUAAAGGAAUUGGCGGGAGCACCACAACGGGUGGAGCCUGCGGUUUAAUUGGACUCAACGCCGGGAAGCUCACCGGAUAAGACAGCGGAAUGAUUGCCGGGCUGAAGACUCUGCAUGACUAGCUG